rnacentral:rRNA from 1 species
ACGCUCGACACCUACGGGACAGCAGUGGGGAAUAUUGCACAAUGGGGGAAACCCUGAUGCAGCGACGCCGCGUGAAGGAAGAAGUAUUUCGGUAUGUAAACUUCUAUCAGCAGGGAAGAAAAUGACGGUACCUGACUAAGAAGCCCCGGCUAACUACGUGCCAGCAGCCACGGUAAUCUGAGCGGGCUGGCAAGGC